ensembl:lncRNA
UCCAUACAGGUUUUCGUCUUGUAUUAUUCUUUUAAAAACAACUGACUUGGCUUGAGUGGGGAUGUUGAGUGGGGAUGUUGAGGGGGGAUGUUGAGGGGGGAUGUUGAGUGGGGAUGUUGAGGGGGGAUGUUGAGGGGGGAUGUUGAGGGGGGAUGUUGAGUGGGGAUGUUGAGGGGGGAUGUUGAGGGGGGAUGUUGAGUGGGGAUGUUGAGGGGGGAUGUUGAGGGGGGAUGUUGAGGGGGGAUGUUGAGGGGGGAUGUUGAGGGGGGAUGUUGAGGGGGGAUGUUGAGUGGGGAUGGUCUACAUAAAUUGCCUUAUUUGGACAGGUGAAAUCCUACAAAACUAUUGGAUUAUUACAAUACACAUCGAUCAAUUUUUCUAAAUAUAUCAUGUUCUUGACCAACGUCAUGGCAACUAGAUAUGCUGACAUAGAACGUAAUCGCGGUUUUUACAAUAGUUCCCAGGAAACGUCAUUCUUGAGAUGUAGGAUAGGAAUAUAAAUGCAUUCCAAAUGCGUGUACAUGCUUAUAUAUUAUUCAACUAGCAAAAUUCCAUUCAUUGGCAGCAAACACAGAGUGAGAAGCCUCCCGUUCAAUAUGAGUCAGUCACACAGUGAGCGAUUCAUCGGUUUUAUUCUCAUCUGACGGCUAUGCUUUCGUACACUGCUGGGAUGGGGCUAAUGCACAGACACACCACACCUACAGAGGAGGAACAUCACAGAAGCUGCGCCGGGAUGCAUUAAGACCAGAGUAAAGGACACAGCACGAGAGGAGGACCGAGACAUUAGCAGACCGUCUGUCCUCAUAAAAUAUACAUAGGUCUCACAUCCAUUACUAAAACAACAUCCUUUUCAAGUUACACUUCUGGAAGAAGGCUCUUAGAACUGCUUUAAUUACUUGUGGUCAGUGUCCGAUUAGCAGCGGUUUGGUGUACAAGGGGACCACCACAACAGGACUGGAGCCAUGGCUAAUGAGGACAACUGAGUGUCAUCAACUAAUGGGUGGUGACGCUUUGAAAGGAAUGUACAAGAACCACUGAUGGUGCCCCAAGAAAUACACAACAUGUGUCUUUUUUCUUUUUUUUAACACAUAUUUCUGCCAAGAUGAUUAUUGUGCUUUGUGAAUAAGGGCAGUUGUUACGGAUUGUUUUAUUACGUGGCCAUUUACAAAUGAGCACUAAGUUGACUUUGGAAGUCCUAGAUUAAACACUGUCCAUUUCCAGUUAAAACAUCACAGGGGAAUAACAGUAGAAUCAGAAUCACACACAAAAAUCUUUUUUUGGAAAGAAAUAUGGUAAUGUUCUCUUGUUUUUGAUCACUAACAUACACAGAGUGUAGCCAUUUGAUAAAAAAGGAUAAACUCCAGUAACAUCCAUUUUGUACAGUGAGAUACGAAGACAGAAACAUUUCACAGGUUAAGCUACAUAAGAAUUUCUUAAACCCUUGGCAGGGAACUUGAGUGAAUACAUCUAUAAUUACACACUAUAUUUAAUUUGCGAUGUCGGAUGAUUGUACGUUAAUUUCAGACAACUUUGACAAAGAAACCUAGUGUGUAUUUAUUCCAACAAACAAAACUAUUUUGAUGCAAAUAUUCUUGGCAAACAGUUUCUAUUGGGACAACUUCAGAACAGAAUAUCCGUACAUUCAAAACAUUGACUUAUCAUGUAGCAACAGCAAUGCUUUGUUUGCCAGAAUGAAUACACACCCACGCUAUCAUUUAACCAACUUUUGGACAGUCCCUUUCUGUUCUAUUCAUCACGUUUCUUCUCUUGCAUUCAAGCCCACUACAACUACAUUGCAUAAUGCCCCAGCUACUGCCCACCAUUGACUUUACAACCAUAAAUACUUAAUAAAUACUUAAUAAAUACUUAAUAAAUGCUUAAUAAAUACUUACGGUACAGAGACACUUACACAGAACAUACAUCAAAUCAUCUCUAUAUAGCACUAGCAUAUUUAAUCUGUCAACACAACCGUCAACUCAUCGGUCACUAGAAAACCAAGAACAUAAAUAAAAUAUCAGGAUUGGGAAUCAGUACACAUGCCCACCACUGCACC